rnacentral:tRNA from 1 species
GCGGGGGUAGCUCAAUCGGCUAGAGCGUCACGUUGCCAACGUGAAGGUUGAGGGUUCGAUUCCCUUCCUCCGCUCCA